rnacentral:rRNA from 1 species
CCUACGGGCGGCAGCAGUGGGGAAUAUUGGACAAUGGGGGCAACCCUGAUCCAGCCAUGCCGCGUGUGUGAAGAAGGCCCUCGGGUUGUAAAGCACUUUCAGUGAGGAAGAACGCCUGGUGGUUAAUACCCAUCAGGAAAGACAUCACUCACAGAAGAAGCACCGGCUAACUCCGUGCCAGCAGCCGCGGUAAUACGGAGGGUGCGAGCGUUAAUCGGAAUUACUGGGCGUAAGGCGCGCGUAGGUGGCUUGAUAAGCCGGUUGUGAAAGCCCCGGGCUCAACCUGGGAACGGCAUCCGGAACUGUCAAGCUAGAGUGCAGGAGAGGAAGGUAGAAUUCCCGGUGUAGCGGUGAAAUGCGUAGAGAUCGGGAGGAAUACCAGUGGCGAAGGCGGCCUUCUGGACUGACACUGACACUGAGGUGCGAAAGCGUGGGUAGCAAACAGGAUUAGAUACCCCAGUAGUC